UGUCGGUUCCCCCACCCCACCCCCGAACACGGUGAACGCGGGCCGGCCCGGACAUUCGGGGCGACGAAAACGAAAUUUCAUGUACAUUGGUGUUUAGCCUGCACGUAUGUCUAUAAGAGUGUUGGAUGUUGGAUUCCCCUGGACUGGACUUGGAGACAAUUGUGAGCUGCCAUCAACAGAACCCUGAUUAAGGCAUUAGAUUGGCCUUGUUGGAGGAAGUGUGGUCAAGACACAGCCUCAUGUCCAUCCACUUCCUGCUGCCUUCUAAUCAAAUUGUAGCCAGCACCAUGUGUGUCUGUAUGCCAACAUGCUUCUGCCGUGAUAAUGAACUAAACAUUUGAAAAUAUUCAAAUAAAUAAAUGUUUUCCUGUAAAA